AAUUGAUGAUGUGGGCAUCUCCUUAGCAGCUCCUUAAAACACUCCCAAGCUUCAUACAAUGACUCCAUCUCCAUCUGCACAAAAAAAGUGAUAUCAUUACGUAUCUU